rnacentral:piRNA from 1 species
UUGCAGGGAUACUCCUUGGAAUUGCGGCU